CGGCGCAAAGGCUGCUGGGACGGGACUCCAAGCCUGGGCAGAGUGAGUUGCUGUAGAUGGCUCUCUAUCCGCUAUAACUUUGACCCGCUGGUUUAUGGGUAAGGGAUUCAGGUGAGAGAGGUCACAGCAUUAGUGGGUGAGUAAUCAGUAUAGCGCUUUACUAUAAAAUACAUUAUAACUAUAUGCAACCUCUAGCAUAGCCCAGUGCCAGCACUAUAACUUCCCUGGCAGACACACCUUAUAUUAUUAUUAUUAUAUUAUCUUUAUUAGUACAGGAGGUCUCUGGUACCUCUCCCACCAGAUAAAUUAUAUUCAUCACUGCAUUUCACAUUAAACUGGCUGCAGCAACCGCACUGCCAUCCACUGGUCUUCUGGGAAUUCAACUUGAAUGUUACAUUUUAGUCUACAAAACUCAAAUUGGGAGAUUUAUACUAUUAAAGGGACACUACAGGCACCCAGAUCACUUCUGCUCAUUGAAGUAUUUUGGGUGCAAUGUCCCAGGUCCAUUAACCCUGCAUAGGUAAUUAUUUCUGAUUUUAAUAAACUGCAAUAAUUAGCUUUGAGGGUUAACUCCAUCUCUAGUGGUUGUCUACCAGACAGCCACUAGAGGGCCUUCGGGGUCAUUAGGCGACUCUUGGACAUCAUUAUGCUGUGGACGUCCUUACUAUGCAUGAGAACACCCAGCGCCACGCAUUAUACAAUGCUUAUCUAUGGGAGAAGUUUUAAUGCGAGCCUGAACCAGCGCCGAUAGAAUUACCAGUCUGCACCACACAGGUGGGCACUAUCACUAUAGUUUCCCUCAAUUUUAAGUCUGUUAUGUUUUUAGAUUUUUUAUGUAAUACUCUAGAUCAGAGGUUCCCAAUUAAUUUUUUUCCAUGGAACCCUUUAAAAUAGUGUACCAACAUCAUAGAACGCCUAAAAAAAAAAGUGCACCACAGCGCAAACCUUUUAAUUAGCAGAGUGUAGUGUUUUCUUUUUAGCAAGUUUUGUUUUUUGAUAUGCAUACACAUACUUGGGAGCAGGUGUGCUUUUGUGUGUAAAGUUGAUUCUUGUAUAUAAUUUUAUUUUAGGGGUGUGUUUGUAAUGCACAUUUUCUUCUUUGUUCGGUUCGGUGUUACUACCUAUAUAUUGAAUGUAUUGGUUCGGUAGUUUGAAAGUACCGAACGCCGACCACCCUCCUGGCUCAUUAACUACAAAGGAACCAGCUAUUAAGUGCUCCCUGUGCGGCCGGUGUUCGUACAGCCGAACGCCACGUGGAGUAGAAAACGGCGGCCAUCUUGUUCGCACGAGGGGAGUCAGCAGGACUUGGUCGUCAAGUGUCUGGAACUAAAAUCGGACUCUCGACCUCGCGAACCACCGCUGAAACUACCGAAGGCCGGCUUCUUGUAUUUCCCGAACAGCCAGGGAAGCGCCAUUCGGUAGUUCUGUGCGAACGGACAAGGGGAACAAUCGUUACAAUGAGCCAGGGGGAUCCAUUCGGGACUUUUGUUCGGUUUUUACAGAUUUGUGAAUUGACCGACCGCAUACGCUGAAUUCAUGGAACUGUUUUGGGCAGGAGCCGCGUGUGUGGUCGGUAAAAUGGACCCUCCACACUUUUUCAGAACCCCUGAACCAAUCUGGGUGAAAUUUGGAUAUGUUUGUUCCCCAGAUAGGGGCUAUGUAAUUUGUGGGGAUACCUUGUGGGGAUAGGGGUGUUCUAAGUUUUGGGGAAAUUGUGUGCUCUCUGCCUGGAGAUAAUUGGUUUAUUCCUUAAAUUAUCUCAAUAUCUCCCAGGCAGAGAAGAGGUGUGUAUUACUGUAAAUCUGUAUGUUGAUUGGCUGUUGUCUUUGUUUGCUGUGGGAGGUCCUCUUGCAGGAGGAUUUCUCAUAAAAGCCCGUGUGUGUCAAUAAAAUUCAUUCCUGUUACACCCUUCAUGAAGUCUAGGCUCAUGUUUGGGGGAUAUUCUACUUGCUGAGAAGAAUCACCUUGGAACUGCAUUUCAUCUACCUUAUUCCUCUACUCCCUGCAGGGCCGGUGCUUGGAUUUUUAGGUACAUAGGCGAAGAUGCAUUUUUCCAGUCACUCACAGACACACAGAGACGUACAGUCACUCACAGACACACACGCUCAGUCACUCACAGACACACACGCUCAGUCACUCACAGACACACACGCACAGUCACUCACACACGCACAGUCACUCACAGACACACACGCACAGUCACUCACACACACACACAGUCACUCACAGACACACACACUCUGUCACAGACACACACACUCUGUCACUCACAGACACACACACUGUCACUCACGCACACACAGACACACACACUCUGUCACUCACACACACACAGACACACACACUGUCACUCACACUCUGUCACUCACACACACACUCUGUCACACACACACACACUCUGUCACACACACACACUCACACACACACACUCACACACACACUCUGUCACUCACACACACACAGACACACACACUCUGUCACUGACACACACACACAGUCACUCACAGACACACACACUCUGUCACUCACACAGACACACACACACACAGUCACUCACAGACACACACACUCUGUCACUCACACAGACACACACACUCUGUCACUCACACACACAGACACACACACACAGUCAUUCACAGACACACACACUCUGUCACUCACACAGACACACACACUCUGUCAUUCACAGACACACAUCACAUACAUUCACUAAUUAUUUUUAUAACUACAUAUUUUCCACCCAGCCUCCCUACCUGGAGAGCUGAUGUGGAUGAUGUAUCUGUCCCUGGGGCUGCUGAGAGGCGUGCGGCAGUGCUGUGAUCAGGCGCGGCGAGGGAGCUCUAAUCUCCAUCCUCUACUCCCUCGCGGUCUGCCUACUGAUGCUGCGGGAUGACGUCAUAUUCCGGCUCCCGCGGCAUCUGCAGGCAGCGCGCGAGGGAGCAGAGAGGUUAGAGCUCCCUCGCCGCGCCUGAUCACAGCACUGCCGCACCGGGGGUCGAGAUGGUGGCCUGGCAGGAGGGAGAGCUUCCCUCCUGCCGGUCACUGAAAUAUUGCGCCCCCAGAGCCCGCGCGCCCUAAGGCGGCCGCCUGUGCCGCCUUAUGGACGCGCCGGCCCUGACUCCCUGAUGCAGUUAUAAUCACUCAUGCUCAGCUGUUGGGAAAGGGAACAGAAGACCGCAGCACCAUAACCACUGCAGGUCAUAACACACACAUUGGCGCAAAGAUACACACACCUUGACACAGAUACACACACUGACACACAGGUUCACACACUGGUACAGAUACACACAAUCUGACAAAAAUAAAAAUACAUGUUAAAAUGUUUUUAUUUUCAGCCACCCUACUGUUAGCUUACCUUUUGUGUCCAGGAGGGUGGCUUGUUCGGGGUUCUGGCUGAAGCUAAUGGGAGCAAGCAUGCAGCAGCAGUUCACUCCAAACUCAUCUUUGCCUCCAUGCUGCUAUAUGAGCCGCUGCCUCCUGCCUCCUCCUUCCUCAUUCCAUUCCUUCAACGCAGCUCGUUAUGUAAAGCUGAAAGGAAGUGACAGGCUGUCACUUCCUCCCAGUCGGCUGAUACUGCAGAGGCUGGUCAUGCUCUCAAAGAUCCGCGGCACCUUGCCACAUGUCUCGUCUGUUCAAUCGUAAUUUUUCCAGAAGCCUUGUGGUUCUUUUCAGAUGCAUCUUUGCAAACCUAAGCCGUGCUACCAUGUUAUUUUUAGAGAGUAGAGGCUUUCUGCUGGCAACCCUUCCAAAUAAAUCAUACUUGUUCAGUCUUUUUGUAAUUGUACGUUCAUGAACUUUAACAUUCAACAUCCUAACUGAGGCCUUAGAUGUAACUCUUGGGUUUUUUACAAGUGUCUCCGCAUGGCACGGUCUGACCUUGGGGUGAAUUUGCUGGGACGUCCACUCCUGGGAAGAUUGGCAACUGUCUUGAAUGUUUCCCACUUGUGAAACAUCUUUCUCAAUUUAAAAUGAUGGACUUUAAAUUGUUUGGAAAUAGCCUUGUAACUCUUCCCAGUUUGAUGGGCAGCAACAAUUCCUUCUCUGAGAUCGUUACUGGUGCCUUUCCUCCUUGGCAUCAUGUUAACACACGUGAAUGCUCCAGAUCAGCAAAGUGAUAAAACUUUGGCUUUUAAAGAGGUGGUCACACUUUCUGAUGGACAAUUAAUCAACGGAAUUUAUUUGAUUAGCAGAAGUUAUCUGCAACCAAGCCUCUUAAUUCCUAUGAAAGCAGUAAGGGUGUACUUAGUUUUUCACACAUGGCUUCUCCAUUUUUGGCUUUAUUUUUGUUAAAUCAUGAGGGAGUGUAAUAUGUCAUGUGUUAUUGUCCAUCUAAGGUUGUAUUUACUAAUUUGUAAGACCUGCUAAGGAACAGCUGAUUGUUGUGUCCUGAUAUGUAAAACCAUAGAAUUCAAAGACGGUGUGCUUUCUUUUUCCCAUGAUUGUGUAUAGGUGCCAGCCAUACCAGCCCCAUCUGUGGGAUGUGCCAUCCUGGGCCAGUUAUUUGUAGUGAAAUAAGAAAUGGAAUGAAAAUUAAAUUCUGUAUUUAUGUAGACUCAAAUACAAAUUUAACUGAUAUGUAUGCUAUUGUAUCUUUCUAAAACAGAUAUUUUAAAAUGCUACAAGUCGGUGUUCUCUCUGUCCGUUUUUGGCAAUCUCAUCUGUCACGGAAGAUCUGGAGGUCAAAGCCGUUUUGCAGAACUAGUUUCACUUCUUCAUCAUCUGAUCACAAAAAUAAGCCACAACAUACGGUACCAAACACACAAUCUCCUUGUCCAUCCAAAUCCCAGCAAAAUGACAAAUGUGAUAAUUUUACAUUGAUAUACAAGCUACAUGGGAUACGGUUCUGCAGAAGUCUUUCAAGACUUAAAAUACUUCAGACAAGUUUAACCGUGAUAUUCCUGCCUCCUAUUUAUUAUUACUAUAUGAAAGGACAAGUCACAUAUUUGUGUGUUCAAUACAGCACUGGCACUGCUGUCUUUGCUUGUAUAAUGUUGUAUUGUCUAAGUUAUUUUCUUCGGAGAAUUAUAGGAAUGAUUUACUUAAAUGAUGCUGGCACAACUGUAAAAGUUUCUCAUUUGACGUUUUGGGGCAAAAGAAAAGACAUUUUCAUUCCUGUAACAGAUAUACAAUCACUGGAAGAAACUGGAGACGACAAAAAUGAAAUCCUUCUUCAAUUUAAACGAUACAGCAAUCCAGAUGUUUUGUAUUUUACAACAAGAUUCGGUUACAUUUUGGAUAGAAAAAAGUUUUCAAUGCUUUUUGGAUCUUUUAAAUGACUGUCAUCAAAACAAUCAAUGUAUGUUUGUUCAGCCGUAAAAUGAAAAUAUUAACGCUAUUAAAAUUCUAUAAUGUAUAUUUGUUUUAGAAAUGGACAUAUAAAUAUAUAAAUAUUUUUUUUUAUUGAAAUCUCAAGUUUCCUUAAUACUCUGUUUAUUGGGUCUGCUUGAAGCAGUAAGCAGACCCGUCUACUCUAUCAGGAAGAAACUUCCAUCCCACAAACUUCUGCACAAUGACUUUAAUGUGAUAAGUAGCUUAUCCCCAAGAGAUGUUCCAUUCAUUUUGAGUGUAACUGCUUUGUAAAAUAACCGCUAUGCCAUGGUUUUUACUUAUGCAAGGUCCACUGUUUCGUAAACUUGUCUUUGUGAAGCAGUUGUGUGAUAAUUCCAUGGCUUUGCUCUAUCUCUUGGGAACAAGUAGAACUCAGUCCAAGAAUUGUGUGUGAC
rnacentral:lncRNA from 1 species